GAAUAUUAGUCAAUGCUCGAAAGAGUGAACUAGCUAACUGAAAUCAAUUAUAAUAAUUGAUAACAUAAGGGAAAAUUAUGAUAUUACCUUGUUAUUAGUGUCGUCCAAAUCUGGUGCCAGAAGACUCGGUAAGGCCAGAGACACAAACGUUAAUCGUCUUAAUCAGGCGUAAAGGGUUUGUAGGCGGCUUUUAAAUUUACUAAAAAUCUAAAAUAAAGAUACAUAAGUUAAGAAUAAAAGCUAGAAUCAUAUAGAGGAUAUAUUAAAUAAUGCUUAGAGUAGGUCUGAUAUCCUUAAAUACUAAGUAGAAUACUAAAGGCGAAAGCUUUUAUCCAUUAAUGAUUGACGCUCAGAAACGAAGGUGAGGAUAGGAAAUAGGAUUAGAUACCCAAAAUACCCCUCUCUGUCAACGAUGAAUGGUUGUUAUUAGUAAUAAAUUUAUUAAUGGCAAUGUUAACACGAUAACCAUUCCGCCUUGUGAGUACAACUGCAAAGUUGAAAACAAAAAAAUUAGUCGGUUUCGGAGCAAACGAAGUGAAGCAUGUUAUUUAAUUC
rnacentral:rRNA from 1 species